UACGGAGGGAGCUAGCGUUAUUCGGAAUUACUGGGCGUAAAGCGUACGUAGGCGGCUUUGUAAGUAAGAGGUGAAAGCCCGGAGCUCAACUCCGGAACUGCCUUUUAGACUGCAUCGCUUGAAUCCAGGAGAGGUGAGUGGAAUUCCGAGUGUAGAGGUGAAAUUCGUAGAUAUUCGGAAGAACACCAGUGGCGAAGGCGGCUCACUGGACUG
rnacentral:rRNA from 1 species